ACCAAGGCGACGAUGCGUAGCCGACNUGAGAGGGUGAUCGCCCACACUGGGACUGAGACACGGCCCAGACUCNUACGGGAGGCAGCAGUAGGGAAUCUUCCGCAAUGGACGAAAGUCUGACGGAGCAACGCCGCGUGAGUGAUGAAGGUUUUCGGAUCGUAAAACUCUGUUGUUAGGGAAGAACAAGUACCGUUCGAAUAGGGCGGUACCUUGACGGUACCUAACCAGAAAGCCACGGCUAAUUACGUGCCAGCAGCCGCGGUAAUACGUAGGUGGCAAGCGUUGUCCGGAAUUAUUGGGCGUAAAGCGCGCGCAGGCGGUUUCUUAAGUCUGAUGUGAAAGCCCCCGGCUCAACCGGGGAGGGUCAUUGGAAACUGGGGAACUUGAGUGCAGAAGAGGAGAGUGGAAUUCCACGUGUAGCGGUGAAAUGCGUAGAGAUGUGGAGGAACACCAGUGGCGAAGGCGACUCUCUGGUCUGUAACUGACGCUGAGGCGCGAAAGCGUGGGGAGCGAACAGGAUUAGAUACCCUGGUAGUCCACGCCGUAAACGAUGAGUGCUAAGUGUUAGAGGGUUUCCGCCCUUUAGUGCUGCAGCAAACGCAUUAAGCACUCCGCCUGGGGAGUACGGUCGCAAGACUGAAACUCAAAGGAAUUGACGGGGGCCCGCACAAGCGGUGGAGCAUGUGGUUUAAUUCGAAGCAACGCGAAGAACCUUACCAGGUCUUGACAUCCUCUGACAACCCUAGAGAUAGGGCUUCCCCUUCGGGGGCAGAGUGACAGGUGGUGCA
rnacentral:rRNA from 1 species